GAGACUCUGACCAUGCCUAGAGACCCCCACUCCUGAACUGGGGUGCACAGAGGGCUGCCAGCUGGGGAGAAUGGUCCUGGGAGAAUUGUAGGUUAACAUCAGCAUCCAUGGUUGGCCUUCAGCUCUGCCAUCAGAACCACUGCUUCAAGGGGUCUGAUUCAGCCUUUACAGUUUUGAUGCCUCAAACAAAUGUCAGCACCUUUAUCAACAAAUGCACUGACAAGUGGAUUAGACAAGCAAGUGGGCUGGAGAAGGCAUCUGCUUCCAGUCUUCUGAUGUACCUCGAGGACCUACGUCUGGAGGACUUGGCUUGUCCCACCAGCAGAAGAAAACCACCAGUAGAACUCUUGAAGGUUUUGUAGUCUGUUGUAUGGAAAUUGUCACAGGGAUAUUUUUGUUUGUGCAGUGGAACAAAAGUGAAAACUUUCCACCUCCUUGGAUUUCAUGAAUUUAGUGAAGAUCUCCCAAAGCAGCACUCAUUCCCAUGCAGGUCAGGCUCGUUGUCCACGUG
rnacentral:lncRNA from 1 species